AAAACGUUAAACUCAAUGGGAGCACAAGUUUGAAGCUUAUAGUAGUUGAAUAUUGCAGCUAUUUGUGAAUGAAUUGUUCUUCGGUAAUGAGAUAGUUACCAUGUCUCUAAGAAAUGGGCCCCAUACAUAAUUUCUAAACCGAUUAAAUGAUGCUCCCAUUAUGCUUUGCACGCUUAGAGUUUAAGGUUUAAAGGUUUUUCAAAGGACAACCUUUUUUGAAUUAGCUGUAUAUUCCUUGAAUUUUUAGAAUAGUUAAGAUUUUAAAUAUUUUUAUUAUAUAGUAGAGAGUGAGAUACUGAAAAAUACACAGUGAGAUAUUUUCCAUAUCUUCACUAGUGAAGAUAUCGAUCACGUGACUUUUUCCAAUUUGCUUUUGAGCGUGAAAUUUCACAAUUUUUUGCUUGGGACUAUAUAAUAAACAGAACAUUACACGGUGGCUUGAAGAUAUGACUUUUAUCUUCUUGUGUUAAAAACAAUAUUUUACUCACUCGCUGCGCUCGUUCGUAAAAUAUUGUUUUCACCACUCGAAGAUAAAAGUCAUUUCUUCGCACCGCCGUGUAAUAUCCUCUAUUUAAUUAGGGGCGGACCAUUAGAAAUACCGGGAGGGGAGUGAAAAUUAAAAAAAAAAUUCGUGCAAAGAAAAAUGCCUGGGAAAAAAUUCGCGCAGCCAUUACGUCAGAGAAAAAAAUUCGUGCAAGCGAACAGCAAAGUGCAAAUAGUCUUGAAAAAAAUUCUUGCAAAGGUUAAAUGCAUAAAAAAAAUUCUGCAGAGACGGAGACUAAAAAAAGAAAUCGUGCCGCAAAGAUUUUAUACCCCCCCCCCCCGGGAUUUCUAAUGGUUCGCCCCUUACUACUAAUCUUUAUAUAAGUA